CUCUUAUUACGUUUUACGGCCGUGUAAAUUUUGAUUACGGCAGCACUAAGAGAAAAAUUUAAAUGGAUUAACGAUCCCUAUAUGGGAAAAGGUCUUUGGUGGUAAAAUACGAGGAGGUGCUAAAAAGUUCCUGCCUUUGAGUACAAAGAAGUACAGGAGGAUCAGGUGCUGUCCCAGUAAUUUUUCGAAGGGAGUGCACAAGAUCAAAAGGGAAUACAAUUCCAGGAGAAAAGGGCAUAACAUUAUUUAGAAGGGCGCACUUCUUUUUUUGAGGGAGUACGUGCCCCUCAGCCCCACCCUUUGAUUUCAAUUAUUAUUUUUAACAUUUUUAAAUUGAGAAAAAAAUUUUCCAUGAAGACCUGUUUUGUGUAAAAAACAAAAAAAAUAUUUCUUGUCUUUCUUCUGCUUUGGAUUUACCAAUCUGUUUUGUAUUUUCCGUAAUUAUUAUAUAAUCCUUAAUUGUAGUGUUGCCAAUUGAGUUGUCUAAUUCAGAAGGCUGUGUUUUGAGUGUGACAUCUGUUCCGCAUUAAUAGUUCAUAAUUGCAAUAACGUUGUACUGUGUUGGUUUUCGUUGUUGCUUUCUUUUGUUUUUGUUACUUGAACUUAAAGCAAUAAUGUUUUGUAACUGUUAUUAAAUUUUCUCUUUGUCGCUUGUUUUUUUUUUUAUGACAGAAGUUUUAAACUGAAAUUAAUGAACAAUACAAAGUCGGAGGAUAAGUUAACUUUGAAAACGUUGCCAAGAGGGUGGGAGAUCGUAAAGGAAAUGAAAAAGGUUGGACACCUUUGACCUAGGUUGUCUCUGUCCGUAGCAGCAGUAACAGUUCCAGAUGUGGGAGUAGUGUUCCGUUACUGGUUUACUCUGAGCUGUGUAAAGGGCAAUCAGUUGGAAAUAGUACUAAGGGAAGUAAAUAUUUUCUAUCCUUUUCUUUUUUCCUAUUCUAGGCACAAGGCCCGAAAUUUUGGGGGAGGGAGCCAGUCGAUUAGAUCGAUAUCAGUACGCAACUGGUACUUAAUUUAUCGACCCCGAAAGAAUGAAAAGCAAAGUCGACCUCGGCGGAAUUUGAACUCAGAACAUAAAGACAGACGAAAUACCGCCAAGCACUUCUGCCGACGUGCUAACGUUUCUGCCAGCUAAGAAGACGACGUCUUGGUGAUGUAGUCUUUACUAAGUUAAAGAUAUGCGUUCACCACGAGAGAUUUUCAAUGAUGAGAGAAAACUAGAAUUUGUGGUGACAUUAAGGGUUUUGUUAGA